UGUUGCCUCCGGGGCGACCCUGCCUUCGGGCGGGGGCUCCGGGUGGACACUUCAAACUCUUGCGUAACUUUGCAGUCUGAGUAAACUUAAUUAAUAAAUUAAAACUUUUAACAACGGAUCUCUUGGUUCUGGCAUCGAUGAAGAACGCAGCGAAAUGCGAUAAGUAAUGUGAAUUGCAGAAUUCAGUGAAUCAUCGAAUCUUUGAACGCACAUUGCGCCCCCUGGUAUUCCGGGGGGCAUGCCUGUUCGAGCGUCAUUUCACCACUCAAGCCUCGCUUGGUAUUGGGCAACGCGGUCCGCCGCGUGCCUCAAAUCGACCGGCUGGGUCUUCUGUCCCCUAAGCGUUGUGGAAACUAUUCGCUAAAGGGUGUUCGGGAGGCUACGCCGUAAAACAACCCCAUUUCUAAGGUUGACCUCGGAUCAGGUAGGGAUACCCGCUGAACUUAAGCAUAUCAAUAAGCGGAGGAAAAGAAACCAACAGGGAUUGCUCUAGUAACGGCGAGUGAAGCAGCAAUAGCUCAAAUUUGAAAUCUGGCGUCUUCGACGUCCGAGUUGUAAUUUGUAGAGGAUGCUUCUGAGUAACCACCGACCUAAGUUCCUUGGAACAGGACGUCAUAGAGGGUGAGAAUCCCGUAUGCGGUCGGAAAGGUGCUCUACACGUAGCUCCUUCGACGAGUCGAGUUGUUUGGGAAUGCAGCUCUAAAUGGGAGGUAAAUUUCUUCUAAAGCUAAAUAUUGGCCAGAGACCGAUAGCGCACAAGUAGAGUGAUCGAAAGAUGAAAAGCACUUUGGAAAGAGAGUUAAAAAGCACGUGAAAUUGUUAAAAGGGAAGGGAUUGCAACCAGACUUGCUCGCGGUGUUCCGCCGGUCUUCUGACCGGUCUACUCGCCGCGUUGCAGGCCAGCAUCGUCUGGUGCCGCUGGAUAAGACUUGAGGAAUGUAGCUCCCUCGGGAGUGUUAUAGCCUCUUGUGAUGCAGCGAGCGCC
rnacentral:rRNA from 1 species